rnacentral:rRNA from 1 species
CUGCAGCUCAAGUGGUAGCCGCUAUUAUUGGGCCUAAAACGUUCGUAGCCGGUUUAGUAAAUGCUUGGGUAAAUUGUGUCGCUUAACGAUACGAAUACCGGGUAGACUGCUAAACUUGGGACCGGGAGAGGCUAGAGGUACUCCUGGGGUAGAGGUGAAAUUCUGUAAUCCUGGGGGGACCACCAGUGGCGAAGGCGUCUAGCUAGAACGAGUCUGACGGUGAGGGACGAAGCCCUGGGGCGCAAACCGGAUUAGAUACCCGAGUAGUCC